rnacentral:misc_RNA from 1 species
ACCACAGUCUACUUCUAGCUAGCCAACAAAACUAAACCACGGGGCACCGGUCCACGCUCAUCGAUAUCGUUGAGCUUCGGCGAAGCUUGAUAGCUAGAGCGAGCGGGAAAUGGCGUCAGGGUGGGGGAUCACAGGAAACAAGGGCAGAUGCUACGAUUUCUGGAUUGACUUCAGCGAAUGCAUGUCUCGUUGCAGAGAGCCUAAGGACUGCGCACUCCUCCGCGAAGAUUACCUUGAGUGCCUUCAUCACUCUAAAG